UACGUAGGGUGCGAGCGUUGUCCGGAAUUAUUGGGCGUAAAGAGCUUGUAGGCGGUUUGUCGCGUCUGCCGUGAAAAUCCGGGGCUCAACCCCGGACUUGCGGUGGGUACGGGCAGACUAGAGUGUGGUAGGGGAGACUGGAAUUCCUGGUGUAGCGGUGAAAUACGCAGAUAUCAGGAGGAACACCGAUGGCGAAGGCAGGUCUCUGGGCCACUACUGACGCUGAGGAGCGAAAGCGUGGGGAGCGAACAGG
rnacentral:rRNA from 1 species